GCAUCUACGUUCAAGAUUUUUGUUCACGCGCGUUGCCGAGGUUACACAUCUGGAUCGAACGUACUUCCGGUCUGUGCUUGUUAAUCGGUCUGGCUAGUGACUAAACUGACCUCUGGAACAAAUAUCCUGUGGAAAAAUGUUUUGGUGUCCAAAAGACGACGGGAGACAGUGAGCAUUGAUCACCGCUGCGGAUUUGGCAGCCAGGCAAGAAUUCAAGAAUGGGGAUUUUUUAAAAGCCCUGUCUACAUAAUUGUGCUCUUGAAUGAGACAGCUCAAAGGCAAAUUCAAAGAGGAUGUCAUCUGCAGGUGCUGACUGACAACGCGCCGGGGUUGACAACAAAAGCAACAGGCACAGCCAUCAAAUGCAAUGUCAUAUACACUGAUCAUGUGAUUGGUCGAAACGGCAACCACGUGAUUAAACAGUAUGCUGACAGCUACGGUACGGAUUGUGACAUCCCGCCUUGUCCUCUCUUUUCCCUGAAGUGCCACCCGUGCCAGCGCAGACAAUGUCAAUCACAGAAAAUAGAAGCAACUGCCACAGACUGCUGUCUUAUUGUGGUGACUCUUUUGUUGCGAAUGACUAAAAUCUGACAGGUAAAACUGACUAUUGUGCUUUUCCUUGGAUCUGCAAUGGGAGACAAAAUGGUUAUGGACUGUUUAUUCCUAAACUAGCUUCACAUUUAAUGGAACUGAUCCAAAGUGAACUGUUCUGUUAUGUGUGCAAGUGAAGAAAAUAAGAUGUGAUGGAAUAAUGAGGAUUUAUGCUCUUCAAAUGGACUUUUUCAGAAAGAGAGUGAUGGUUGUAUAAAACAUGCAUUUUUUCAGUGUAA